rnacentral:rRNA from 1 species
AUUGAACGCUGGCGGCAGGCCUAACACAUGCAAGUCGAGCGGAUGAAGGGAGCUUGCUCCUGGAUUCAGCGGCGGACGGGUGAGUAAUGCCUAGGAAUCUGCCUGGUAGUGGGGGAUAACGUCCGGAAACGGGCGCUAAUACCGCAUACGUCCUGAGGGAGAAAGUGGGGGAUCUUCGGACCUCACGCUAUCAGAUGAGCCUAGGUCGGAUUAGCUAGUUGGUGGGGUAAAGGCCUACCAAGGCGACGAUCCGUAACUGGUCUGAGAGGAUGAUCAGUCACACUGGAACUGAGACACAGUCCAGACUCCUACGGGAGGCAGCAGUGGGGAAUAUUGGACAAUGGGCGAAAGCCUGAUCCAGCCAUGCCGCGUGUGUGAAGAAGGUCUUCGGAUUGUAAAGCACUUUAAGUUGGGAGGAAGGGCAGUAAGUUAAUACCUUGCUGUUUUGACGGUACCAACAGAAUAAGCACCGGCUAACUUCGUG